rnacentral:rRNA from 1 species
UACGUAGGGGGCAAGCGUUGUCCGGAUUUCUUGGGCGUCAAGAGCGUGUAGGCGGCCAGACAGGUCCGUUGUGAAAACUCGAGGCUCAACCUCGAGAUGUCGAUGGAAACCGUCUGGCUAGAGUCCGGAAGAGGAGUGUGGAAUUCCUGGUGUAGCGGUGAAAUGCGCAGAUAUCAGGAAGAACACCCGUGGCGAAGGCGGCUCUCUGGGACGGUACUGACGCUGAGACGCGAAAGCGUGGGGAGCGAACAGG